rnacentral:rRNA from 1 species
UACUAGAGUAGCACUCGCAUAUCAAUAAGCGGAGGAAAAGAAACUAACAAGGAUUCCCCUAGUAACGGCGAGUGAAGCGGGAAGAGCUCAAAUUUGAAAUCUUAAAGGGUUUCCCUUUACGAAUUGUAGUUUAAAGAAGUGUUUUCUGUUGAGGUUUUGGUAAAAGUUCUUUGGAAUAGGACAUCAUAGAGGGUGAGAAUCCCGUAUUUGACCUUUACUUUCAACUUUGUGAUACACUUUCAAAGAGUCGGAUUGUUUGGGAAUGCAGUCCAAAAUGGGUGGUAAAUUUCAUCUAAAGCUAAAUAUUGGCGAGAGACCGAUAGCGAACAAGUACCGUGAGGGAAAGAUGAAAAGAACUUUGAAAAGAGAGUUAAACAGUACGUGAAAUUGUCAAAAGGGAAGCGUUUGACACCAGUGUUGUUUUUCUGAAAAUCAAUUAAAGAACUGUUUAUGCUAAGUUGUUUAGACUUUAUCAGCUAACUGUUUAGUUUUGAGCUUUUCUUUAAUGCACUUUUCAGUUAACAAGUCAACAUCAAUUUCUUUUGCUGUAAAAAAGCUUGAGGAAGGUGGCUUGAGAUUCGUCUUAAGUGUUUAUAGCCUCUUGCCUAUGCAGUCGGAGAGAUUGAGGUCUGCAGCGUAGAUCCUUCGGGGCUAAAUGCAUUUGUGCUAAGUUAUAGCAUUUUAUAGACAACUUGUUGACUAUGAUUUGUCUUGUAGCUUACUCGCUUAUGUUAUUUUACCUACGCUUAGGAUGUUGAACUCUAUCACACACAG